rnacentral:piRNA from 1 species
GGGAGCUCUUUGGGGGCAAGUACUGUUCCU